GCCCGGAGGCGGAAUUGAACCACCGACACGGGGAUUUUCAGUCCCCUGCUCUACCGACUGAGCUAUCCGGGCAAUU
rnacentral:tRNA from 1 species